UACGAAGGGCGCUAGCGUUGUUCGGAAUUACUGGGCGUAAAGCGCACGUAGGCGGCUUUCUAAGUCAGGGGUGAAAUCCUGGAGCUCAACUCCAGAACUGCCUUUGAUACUGGGGAGCUCGAGUCCGGAAGAGGUGAGUGGAACUCCGAGUGUAGAGGUGAAAUUCGUAGAUAUUCGGAAGAACACCAGUGGCGAAGGCGGCUCACUGGUCCGGUACUGACGCUGAGGUGCGAAAGCGUGGGGAGCAAACAGG
rnacentral:rRNA from 1 species